AACGAACGCUGGCGGCGUGGAUAAGACAUGCAAGUCGAACGGGACAUUUUUAGUAGUAAUAUUAGAGAUGUUCAGUGGCGAACGGGUGCGUAACACGUGGAUACAUUCCGGAAAGCGGGGGAUAGCCCAGGGAAACUUGGAUUAAUACCGCAUGUGGUCGCAAGACUAAAGACGGGGAUCGAAAGACCUGUCACUUUCCGAUUGGUCCGCGGCCUAUCAGCUAGUUGGCGGGGUAAAAGCCCACCAAGGCGACGACGGGUAGCUGGUCUUAGAGGACGACCAGCCACACUGGAACUGAGACACGGGACAGACACCUACGGGUGGCAGCAGUCGAGAAUCUUUCACAAUGGGGGCAACCCUGAUGGAGCGACGCCGCGUGGAGGAUAAGGUCUUCGGAUUGUAAACUCCUGUCAUGCGAGAACAAGGUUGCAGGGCUAAUACCCGUGCAAAUUGAUGGUACAGCAAGAGGAAGAGACGGCUAACUCUGUGCCAGCCGCCGCAGUAA
rnacentral:rRNA from 1 species